rnacentral:lncRNA from 1 species
GAUUCUCCUGCUCCAGGCUCUCAAGUAGCUGAGAUUACAGACUAACGAUCUUCUGUUGGUCCCUUCUGGUAGGGCCGAGGAGACCCCAGCAUCACGAAUUAAUUUGGGAUUACAGCCAAGCAAGUUUAAUGUUUCGAAAUAUCAUACACAAUGCAGCUGAGCGCCAAUUUUAUUCCCUGGGUUAGUACUAAUCAGCAAAAUGUACGUAAGGGCCUCAAGAACAGACUGCCCUGAACGUUCCUGUGUGUUGCUCCAGGUCAGUGGGUCUUCCUGCUCUCAUCCUACGCCCACCCACACCCCUCCUGUCCAUGCCACUGGCUUUCAGCAUGUCUUCUCUCCAUGACUCUAACAGCUUCAUAACUGGCUAGUUUGCCUCCCAACAACUCACCCUGCCUUCUGCUGCCAGAAUAUAUUUUCUACAAAAGCAGAGCUGAUUAGGCCAUUUUCCUGCUUACAGGCUUUUGUUGCUCCCCAUGGCUUCCAGGGUGCAGUUCAAAUGUUUAUAGGUACCACACAAGACCCUUCCUGGUUUUCCCCUGCCAAUCUCCUAGCCUCAUUACCUGUUGCUCAUCUGCCUGCCACACAUAAAGACUUGCUAAUUCCCAAACACAUCAUACUGUUGCAUAUUUCCAUGAGUCUGUACUUGCUGUUCCCUUGAACUAAAAUGCCCUUUCCUCCCUUCAUUCAGGUACCACCUACUCAUCCUCCAAUAUCCAGCUGGCACCUCCUCUGGGAAGACUUCCUGGAUAUUUCAGGUUGAUUUAGCAGCAUGCUAUGUGUAUCACACUGAAAUGGCCUACAUCCAGAAGCUGACACAUGGUAAAGAAUUAAAAGUUUCUUGAAAGAAUGCAUUAAUGCAACUUAUUUUCUGCUUCUAUUGUUUUUCUUGUAGUAUACCAACUAGGACACUUUUUGAAGAAACUGCAAUUCUUCUCAGCAUUCAAUUCUGUCCAGUGGCAAAGGUGAUCAGGAGAUUCAAAGUAGUAAAAAUAAUCCCCAAAGUAGUGCUACCACUAGGCCCUGGAAACCAACCUCACAUACUAAAGACAGACUGAAGAUCUGCAUUGAGCUAAGCCCUAAUUAUGUUCAGUGUUCUUAACUUUGAAUCUAGACUCCCAGGCUUUGUACUAUGCCGUAACCAAUUGGGCAACUAAAUGAUGACCGGUACAGCACAGCUGCUAAGAUCACAGACUAAUCCAAACUGCCCGGGUCUGUACCUUGCUUCAGCCACUGUCUAGCUGUGUGUCUUGGGCAAGUUAGUUAAUCCCUUUAUGCCUCAGUUUGCUUAUCUGUAAGAUGGGAACAAUAUUAACAGUACUGACCUCAUAGAAUAAAUGAUUUCAC